rnacentral:lncRNA from 1 species
GAAAAGAAUAUCUUACACACAUAAAGUGGAACACUCAUCUUUUGAAUGGGAUAAGAUACACAGUCACAUUCUUAAGAUAGUUUAGGAUCAUAUGGUUUCAGAUUUAGCUUCUUUAAACCAUUCACUAUUGUUUUUCUCAGUAUAAAGGGAUGGAGAGAUGAAUUUGAGUGCAGUAUCAAGAAUGGACUGGAUUAUAUAUAGUCGGUUCUAAAAUAUCUAUUGGUAUAGGGGCAGGAGUUUAUUAAGAGGAAGCAAAGGUGUCUUACUCUUAUUUCUUUGAAUAAUUUGCCACUGUUUUUCAGCCAAAAAUCUGUUAUUUCUAUAUGUAUCAAAAUCAAUCUUCAUAGAAGAUAUGUUAAAUAUAUUCACAACCUCUCAGGUAGUCAAGCUGCUUUAAAAACAGUUGAUAGCUUCUUCGCCUUGAAGUUUAUAUAGGCAUGUUAUUAUCUCAUUAUGGAACUGGUUAGCAGAAAUAGGGUUAAACUUAUUUGGGUACCAGGAUAUAAAGAAAUUGGAGGCAGUGAAGUUGUAAUUGGGCUGUUCAAGGAAGAGACUUAUCCCUUUAUUGGAUCUAAGUCUGUCCUGGAUAUCAAAUCUGAUGUAUUUGGAGAGGUUGUCAGGAACUAUAGUCUGUUCCAUUUUGAGAAAGCAAUGAUGUCACAAAAUGAUGUUGUCUGGUGGCAUAGCACACAAUUGUGUGUCCUUCUGCCAUUAAAUAUCAAUCUUGAUAUCAAAGUAUAAAUAGCAUAUUUU